rnacentral:rRNA from 1 species
AGGUAAGCUACUAAGAGCGAAUGGUGGAUGCCUUGACUGGUAAAGGCGAUGAAGGACGUACUAGACUGCGAUAAGCUACGGGGAGCUGUCAAGAAGCUUUGAUCCGUAGAUUUCCGAAUGGGGCAACCCAAUGUAUAGAGAUAUACAUUACCUAUAUAGGAGCGAACGAGGGGAAUUGAAACAUCUUAGUACCCUCAGGAAAAGAAAUCAAUAGAGAUUGCGUCAGUAGCGGCGAGCGAAAGCGCAAGAGGGCAAACCCAGUGCUUGCACUGGGGGUUGUAGGACUGCAAUGUGCAAGAGGUAAGUUUAGCAGAACAUUCUGGAAAGUAUAACCAUAGAGGGUGAUAGUCCCGUAUGCGAAAAACAAACCUUAGCUAGCAGUAUCCUGAGUAGGGCGGGACACGAGGAAUCCUGUCUGAAUCCGGGUCGACCACGAUCCAACCCUAAAUACUAAUACCAGAUCGAUAGUGCACAAGUACCGUGAGGGAAAGGUGAAAAGAACUGAGGUGAUCAGAGUGAAAUAGAACCUGAAACCAUUUGCUUACAAUCAUUCAGAGCCCUAUGUAGCAAUACAGGGUGAUGGACUGCCUUUUGCAUAAUGAGCCUGCGAGUUGUGGUGUCUGGCAAGGUUAAGCAAACGCGAAGCCGUAGCGAAAGCGAGUCUGAAUAGGGCGCUUAGUCAGAUGCUGCAGACCCGAAACGAAGUGAUCUAUCCAUGAGCAAGUUGAAGCUAGUGUAAGAACUAGUGGAGGACUGAACCCAUAGGCGUUGAAAAGCCCCGGGAUGACUUGUGGAUAGGGGUGAAAGGCCAAUCAAACUUCGUGAUAGCUGGUUCUCUCCGAAAUAUAUUUAGGUAUAGCGUUGUGUCGUAAUAUAAGGGGGUAGAGCACUGAAUGGGCUAGGGCAUACACCAAUGUACCAAACCCUAUCAAACUCCGAAUACCUUAUAUGUAAUCACAGCAGUCAGGCGGCGAGUGAUAAAAUCCGUCGUCAAGAGGGAAACAACCCAGACUACCAGCUAAGGUCCCUAAGUCUUACUUAAGUGGAAAACGAUGUGAAGUUACUUAAACAACCAGGAGGUUGGCUUAGAAGCAGCCAUCCUUUAAAGAAAGCGUAAUAGCUCACUGGUCUAGUGAUUUUGCGCGGAAAAUAUAACGGGGCUAAAGUAAGUACCGAAGCUGUAGACUUAGUUUACUAAGUGGUAGGAGAGCGUUCUAUUUGCGUCGAAGGUAUACCGGUAAGGAGUGCUGGAGCGAAUAGAAGUGAGCAUGCAGGCAUGAGUAGCGAUAAUUAAUGUGAGAAUCAUUAACGCCGUAAACCCAAGGUUUCCUACGCGAUGCUCGUCAUCGUAGGGUUAGUCGGGUCCUAAGUCGAGUCCGAAAGGGGUAGACGAUGGCAAAUUGGUUAAUAUUCCAAUACCAACAUUAGUGUGCGAUGGAAGGACGCUUAGGGCUAAGGGGGCUAGCGGAUGGAAGUGCUAGUCUAAGGUCGUAGGAGGUUAUACAGGCAAAUCCGUAUAACAAUACUCCGAGAACUGAAAGGCUUUUUGAAGUCUUCGGAUGGAUAGAAGAACCCCUGAUGCCGUCGAGCCAAGAAAAGUUUCUAAGUUUAGCUAAUGUUGCCCGUACCGUAAACCGACACAGGUGGGUGGGAUGAGUAUUCUAAGGCGCGUGGAAGAACUCUCUUUAAGGAACUCUGCAAAAUAGCACCGUAUCUUCGGUAUAAGGUGUGGUUAGCUUUGUAUUAGGAUUUACUCCGAAAGCAAGGAAACUUACAACAAAGAGUCCCUCCCGACUGUUUACCAAAAACACAGCACUCUGCUAACUCGUAAGAGGAUGUAUAGGGUGUGACGCCUGCCCGGUGCUCGAAGGUUAAUUGAUGGGGUUAGCAUUAGCGAAGCUCUUGAUCGAAGCCCGAGUAAACGGCGGCCGUAACUAUAACGGUCCUAAGGUAGCGAAAUUCCUUGUCGGUUAAAUACCGACCUGCAUGAAUGGCGUAACGAGAUGGGAGCUGUCUCAAAGAGGGAUCCAGUGAAAUUGUAGUGGAGGUGAAAAUUCCUCCUACC